UUGAAUGGGGAGUAUCAAAAUAAUUGGUAUCAGAGUUUGUUGUUGAAGCAAAAUGGUUUAAAUAAUAAAAAUGAAAUAAGACUUUUGAGUAUUUUUCGGACACAAGCACGGGAGCACAUAGUUUGUUCUAAUCUAAAUCACUAUUAUAAUAAAAAAACGUAGAAAUUUAGUCAUAUUUUAUAUAAAAUUUACAUAGUAAAAAUUAGAGAUCCAUUCAUAUUUUGGCAUGGAAAAGUCAUUACAGAAGCGAACACGAUUUGAGCAAAAAUUGCUUUGUAAAAUGAAUAUAUAACUAGUCAAAGACAUAUUUAACAGACAUGGAUACCAUAUUUCAUUGAUGCCAUAAAUGUGGAGAAAGAAUCUAAAACUUAUUUUUAUACCGGAGUACAUUAAAGGGACCAUAAAAAAUAGGUUAGAUUAAGCAAUAAUAACUUGUAAAAAAUUUACAGAAUAUCAAGAAGAAGAAGAAGGUAUACACGGUAUUUUUAGAAAAUAUCAGAUAUCUCAGCACCAUUUCUUUAUUGCACAAAUAUUUUUUGGUAUAUGGAAAACUAUCAAAAAUUGAAUAACUUGUAUUUUACGCAUGCAGCCAUGAAUCUCAUAAAUAUGGAUUCAGAAAAUCGGGUUGUGCUGAAUGUGGGCGGCAUUCGGCAUGAAACCUAUAAAGCCACAUUGAAAAAGAUUCCCGCUACGCGCCUGUCUCGGUUAACUGAAGCCCUUGCCAACUACGAUCCUAUAUUGAAUGAAUAUUUUUUUGAUCGGCAUCCAGGAGUUUUUGCUCAAGUCCUCAAUUACUAUAGAACUGGCAAACUGCAUUAUCCUACAGAUGUUUGCGGACCUCUAUUUGAAGAGGAACUUGAGUUUUGGGGAUUAGAUUCUAACCAGGUAGAGCCAUGCUGUUGGAUGACUUACACUCAGCAUAGAGAUACUCAAGAAACCCUUGCCGUAUUAGACCGUUUAGACCUUGAUACAGAAAAACCGUCCGAAGAGGAAUUGGCAAGGAAGUUCGGCUUCGAGGAAGAUUACUAUAAAGGUACCUUAUCUUGGUGGCAGGAAAUGAAACCUCGCAUUUGGUCAUUAUUUGACGAACCAUAUAGUUCCAAUGCAGCUAAGACUAUAGGUGUUGUCUCAGUAUUUUUUAUUUGCAUUUCAAUUUUAUCAUUCUGCCUCAAAACGCAUCCCGAUAUGCGAGUUCCGGUUGUUAGAAACGUAACAGUACGUACGGCGAAUGGAAGCACUUCGUGGUUUUUAGAUAAAUUCCAAACCAAUGCACAUAUCGCAUUCUUUUAUAUUGAAUGUGUGUGCAAUGCGUGGUUCACAUUCGAGAUUUUGGUUAGAUUCAUAUCCUCGCCAAAUAAAUGUGAAUUCAUAAAGUCAUCUGUUAACAUCAUAGAUUAUAUAGCAACGCUUAGUUUUUAUAUCGAUCUUGUGCUUCAGCGCUUUGCUUCUCAUCUUGAAAACGCCGACAUUUUAGAAUUUUUCUCGAUAAUACGUAUAAUGCGUUUGUUCAAACUCACGCGCCAUUCAUCCGGCUUAAAAAUACUCAUACAGACGUUUCGGGCUUCGGCGAAGGAGCUUACAUUACUGGUGUUUUUUUUAGUACUCGGUAUAGUUAUAUUCGCAAGUCUUGUGUAUUAUGCGGAGCGUAUUCAACCAAAUCCACACAAUGACUUUAAUAGCAUACCUUUAGGCUUAUGGUGGGCCUUAGUCACAAUGACUACAGUUGGAUAUGGAGAUAUGGUGCCUAAAACGUAUAUAGGAAUGUUUGUUGGCGCAUUAUGCGCACUUGCUGGUGUACUAACUAUAGCACUGCCGGUUCCAGUUAUUGUUAGCAAUUUUGCAAUGUACUAUUCACAUACACAAGCCCGAGCUAAACUGCCCAAGAAACGUAGACGUGUUCUUCCCGUUGAACAGCCCCGUCCACCAAGGCUACCAGGCCAACCAGGAGGUGUGAGUGGUUGCGGCACGCCUGGGUCUGGACCACAUUCUGGACCUAUGGGAUCAAGCGGAACUGGACCAAGAAGAAUGAAUAACAAAACUAAAGAUUUAGUUAGCCCAAAAUCAGAUGAGUACUCCAAUAUGCUUGGUAAACCACGUGAUGGAAAAAUGGGAAGACUUCUUUGAAGAUUUAACGGUUCUUGCUAGAUAUACGAAUGCAACCAAAUCAUGAGCGUUACAUACGAGUACUCCACAUAAGCACACAAAUUUAUGUAGAGAGUUCCGUACGUAUGCAUAAUAAUAAUAUACAUAUAAACCAAGUGAUAAGGAAGAAAGCCAGACUGCGCCUAUAUUAAGAAUAAUUACAAAAUAUUUACAAUAAUAUAAUAGUUUAUUCAUAUCUAAAUCACUUUUAUAUAAUCGACGCUAGAGAAAUUUGAAAUUCAUCAGAAAAAUCCAUCAUUAUCAUCAUCACCAUUAAAAACGUCAACACCACAACCAAAGCCAAAAAUCAACACCUACCUCUCCAUACAACCAAAAUUCAUGUUCUGUAUAGCGAUAUGGUUAAAGAAAAAAAAAUUAAAUAAAAUUAUAGAAGAGUAGAUAAAAUAUAUACGUUGCCCUAAAUUGCUCAGCUAUAGCAGAAUAUGAAUAUCGUAUGAAACUUGCAAGAUACUGUGGAUCGGCCAGCAUUAGAAAGAACAGCUGUGAACCAAAAAAAAAAUAUUCUAUUCAGCUUCAAACAUAAUACACACCCUAAGUCGUUUUACAAGAAUUCACUACACAAAUGUCAUCACUGUUGAACUGGGACCGCACCGUAGUAGCCCACGAAAUGGACCUAUUGGAGCCAGCAUUGUUGCUAUGAGUCCAAGAACUAUGUUAGAUCUAAAUCCAGCUUUGGCGAUGGGUAAACC